rnacentral:rRNA from 1 species
CAUGCGCGAAAGCGUGAUAAGGAAAUUCCGAGUGCUCUYGGGAAACCAAGGGCUUUUGUUAAGUGUAGAUAACUUGAUGAAUAAGGACUGGGUAAUACCCGUGCCAGCCGCCGCGGUAAUACRGGWAGUCCGAGUGGUGCCCACGAAUAUKGGGCUUAAAGCGUCCGUAGCUGGUCUUGAAAGUCUUUGGUGAAAGCUCAUAGCUUAACUAUGAGAAGUGCUAAAGAUACUCCUAGACUUGGAGGCAGGAGAGGUUAGAGGUACUUUCGGGGUAGCGGUAAAAUGUGUUAAUCCUGAAAGGACCACCGGUAGCGAAGGCGUCUAACUAGUAAUGCGCUCGAACAGUGAGGGACAAAGGCUAGGGRAGCAACCUGRAUUAGAUACCCAGUUAGUCCUAGCAGUAAAUGAUGCAAACUAGGUGUUAAACAACCUACGUGGUUGUCUGGCGCCAAAGAGAAAUCGUUAAGCUUUGCCGCCUGGGGAGUAUGGUCGCAAGACUGAAACUUAAAGGAAUUGGCGGGGGAAGCAC